rnacentral:rRNA from 1 species
UACGUAGGGUGCGAGCGUUGUCCGGAAUUAUUGGGCGUAAAGGGCUCGUAGGCGGUCUGUUGCGUCGGGAGUGAAAACUCAGGGCUUAACCCUGAGCCUGCUUCCGAUACGGGCAGACUAGAGGUAUGCAGGGGAGAACGGAAUUCCUGGUGUAGCGGUGAAAUGCGCAGAUAUCAGGAGGAACACCGGUGGCGAAGGCGGUUCUCUGGGCAUUACCUGACGCUGAGGCGCGAAAGCUAGGGUAGCAAACGGG